ACUGAACGCUGGCGGCAUGCCUUACACAUGCAAGUCGAACGGCAGCGCGGGCUUCGGCCUGGCGGUGUGUGGCGAACGGGCGGGUAAUGCACCGGAACGUGCCCACCAGUGGGGGAUGGCCUGGCGAAAGCCGGAUUAAUCCCGCAUACGACCUGAGGGUGAAAGCGGGGGACCGAAAGUUCUCGCGCUCUUGGAGCUGCCGAUGUCGGAUUACCUCGUUCGUGCGGUAAAGGCUUACCAUGGCGACGAUUCGUAGCUGGUCUGAGAGGACGACCAGCCACACUGGCACUGAGACACGGCCCAGACUCCUACGGGAGGCAGCAGUGGGGAAUUUUGAGCAAUGGGGGGAAGCCUGAUCGAGCCAUGCGGCGGGCGGGAAGAAGGCCUUAGGGUUGGAAACCGCUUUUGUUCGGGAAGAAAUCCUCUGUGCUUAUACCCGGGGGGGAUGACGGUACCGGAAGAAUAAGCCCCGGCUAACUACGUG
rnacentral:rRNA from 1 species